AGAGUUUGAUCCUGGCUCAGGAUGAGCGCUGGCGGCGUGCUUAAUACAUGCAAGUCGAACGAGAACCUGGGGCUUGCUCCAGGGGGCAGUGGCGAAUGGGUGCGUAACACGUAGGCGACCUGCCCUCAAGCGGGGGAUAACGGUUCGAAAGGACCGCUAAUACCGUAUGUGGUCACGGGGUCAAAGCUGUGACUAAACUCGCGCAAGCGGGGCUUAAGGAGGGGCCUGCGGCCCAUCAGCUAGUUGGUAAGGUAACGGCCUACCAAGGCGACGACGGGUAGGGGGCCUGAGAGGGUGACCCCCCACACUGGCACUGACACACGGGCCAGACUCCUACGGGAGGCAGCAGUAAGGAAUAUUGCACAAUGGGCGAAAGCCUGAUGCAGCAACGCCGCGUGAGCGAUGAAGGCCUUCGGGUCGUAAAGCUCUUUUCCCAGGGAAGAGGAAGGACGGUACCUGGGGAAUCAGUCACGGCUAACUACGUGCCAGCAGCCGCGGUAAAACGUAGGUGGCGAGCGUUAUCCGGAUUCACUGGGCGUAAAGCGCACGCAGGCGGCCUAGAAAGUAGGGCAUGAAAUCUCCUGGCUUAACCGGGAGGGGUUGUCCUAUACUGCUGGGCUUGAGGAUGGGAGAGGGAAGCGGAACUGCCGGUGUAGUGGUGAAAUGCGUAGAGAUCGGCAAGAACACCAGUGGCGAAGGCGGCUUUCUGGCCCAUUCCUGACGCUCAGGUGCGAAAGCUAGGGGAGUGAACGGGAUUAGAAACCCCGGUAAUCCUAGCCGUAAACGAUGUACACUAGGUGUCGGGGGUAUUGACCCCCUCGGUGCCGAAGCCAACGCGUUAAGUGUACCGCCUGGGGACUACGGCCGCAAGGUUAAAACUCAAAGGAAUUGACGGGGGCCCGCACAAGCAGCGGAGCGUGUGGUUUAAUUCGAUACACGAAGAACCUUACCAGGGUUUGACAUGUGCGUGGUAGUGAAGCGAAAGCGGAACGACCUUAACCGGAGCGCACACAGGUGCUGCAUGGCUGUCGUCAGCUCGUGCCGUGAGGUGUUAGGUUAAGUCCUAUAACGAGCGCAGCCCCUGCUGCCAGUUACAUGUGUCUGGCGGGACUGCCGGUCAUAAGCCGGAGGAAGGUGGGGACGACGUCAAGUCGGCAUGGCCUUUAUAUCCUGGGCUACACACACGCUACAAUGGCCGGUACAAUGGGCCGCUAAGCCGCGAGGCGGAGCCAAUCCCAGCAAAGCCGGUCUCAGUUCGGAUUGUAGGCUGCAACCCGCCUGCAUGAAGUUGGAGUUGCUAGUAAACGCGCGUCAGCCAUAGUGCGUUGAAUACGUUCCCGGGCCUUGUACACACCGCCCGUCACGUCAUGGGAGCUGACAACACCUGAAGCCGGUGGGCCAACCGCAAGGGGGCAGCCGUCGAAGGUGGGGUUGGUGACUGGGACGAAGUCGUAACAAGGUA
rnacentral:rRNA from 1 species